rnacentral:tRNA from 1 species
GGAAAGGUGGUCCAGUGGUUAGGGCACUAGCUUAGGACUUGGGGGACGGGGUUCAAAUCUCUGCUAUACCA